UCCGGGAUCGUCCAACGGCAGGACGCCUGGCUCUGGACCAGGCAAUCGGGGUUCGAGUCCCUGUCCCGGAA
rnacentral:tRNA from 1 species